GGCAGAGGGACAAGAUGGAGCUGGUGAGGUCCACACAAACGAAGUUGGAUUUCAUAUUGAGUCUGGAGAGCAAAAAAUGGAUUUCUUUUAGGAGUCUUGUUAAGAGCACCAUGAAAUACCCAUGGAGGCAUACUCUCUCAUUGGCAGUUCCUCUGCCCACUGGGUGUCCACAUGAUUCUAACUGAUCUGGAGUCCUGUACAGGCAGUCCGGUCUCCUGACAGGGACAGUCCAUGCUAUUAAAAAUUUAGUUAUGUCCAGCUGUAGCUGUUGGAAGCAGAAAACUUCAUUCACUGGGAAGACACUUGUAGCAGUCCACAAUUAAAAAAAGAAAGCCAAGACUUGUUCUAAGCAGAAAAUUCUCAUUUAGAAGAUGAGAUUUCUUUGUAGAUGUGAUGAUGAAGUGCCUGGCUCUUUAUAUACAUAUUAAUGUGUUCUCACAGCAAGUUUGCAAAUAUUUACUGCUAUACCCAGUUGACAGAAAGAAACUGAAGUUCAAAGAGCUUAGAAAGUCAGAGUUACAGAUAAUAAAAGGCAUCAGUAUUCAAACCUAGCAUA